GCUGUUGUUCAGUUGGUAGAGCAUUGUGCUAACAACGCAAAGGUCGUGGGUUCAAAUCCCAAGUAAAGCA